GACGAACGCUGGCGGCGUGCUUAACACAUGCAAGUCGAACGGAAAGGCCCCUUUGGGGGUACUCGAGUGGCGAACGGGUGGGUAACACGCGAGUAACCUGCCCUUGACUUCGGGAUAACUUCAGGAAACUGGGGCUAAUACCGGCUAGGAAUCCUUGCUGCAUGGUGGGGGUUGGAAAGCUUCGGCGGUUUUGGAUGGACUCGCGGCUUAUCAGCUUGUUGGUGGGGUAGGGGCUUACCAAGGCUUUGACGGGUAGCCGGCCUGAGAGGGCGACCGGCCACAUUGGGACUGAGAUACGGCCCAGACUCCUACGGGAGGCAGCAGUGGGGAAUAUUGCACAAUGGGCGGAAGCCUGAUGCAGCAACGCCGCGUGCGGGAUGACGGCCUUCGGGUUGUAAACCGCUUUCAGCAGGGGCGAAGCUUGUGGUGACGGUACCUGCAGAAGAAGCACCGGCUAACUACGUG
rnacentral:rRNA from 1 species